UAGAGUUUGAUCAUGGCUCAGGAUGAACGCUAGCGGCAGGCCUAAUACAUGCAAGUCGAGGGGUAAGAGUCAGCUUGCUGACUACACGACCGGCGCACGGGUGAGUAACGCGUAUGCAACCUACCUUUAACAGAGGAAUAGCCCCGAGAAAUCGGGAUUAAUACCACAUAACAUUAUGAUAUGGCAUCAUAUUAUAAUUAAAACUCUGGUGGUUAAAGAUGGGCAUGCGUGACAUUAGCUUGUUGGUGAGGUAACUGCUCACCAAGGCAACGAUGUCUAGGGGUUCUGAGAGGAUGAUCCCCCACACUGGUACUGAGACACGGACCAGACUCCUACGGGAGGCAGCAGUAAGGAAUAUUGCGCAAUGGAGGAAACUCUGACGCAGCCAUGCCGCGUGCAGGAUUGAAGGCCUUAUGGGUCGUAAACUGCU
rnacentral:rRNA from 1 species